rnacentral:rRNA from 1 species
AUUGAACGCUGGCGGCAUGCCUUACACAUGCAAGUCGAACGGCAGCACGGGUGCUUGCAUCUGGUGGCGAGUGGCGAACGGGUGAGUAAUACAUCGGCACAUGUCCUGUAGUGGGGGAUAGUCCGGCGCAAGCCGGAUUAAUACCGCAUACGAUCUACGGCUGAAAGCGGGGGACCUUCGUGCCUCGCGCUAUAGGGUUGGCCGAUGGCUGAUUAGCGUGUUGGUGGGGUAAAGGCCUACCAAGGCGACCGUCAGUAGCUGGUCUGAGAGGACGACCAGCCACACUGAGACUGAGACACGGCCCAGACUCCUACGGGAGGCAGCAGUGGGGAAUUUUGGACAAUGGGCGAAAGCCUGAUCCAGCAAUGCCGCGUGUGUGAAGAAGGCCUUCGGGUUGUAAAGCACUUUUGUCCGGAAAGAAAGCCUUGGCCCUAAAACGGGCGGGGGAUGACGGUACCGGAAGAAUAAGCACCGGCUAACUACGUG